GUGUGAUACACAGUAUGUGUGUGUAUAAUAAACAGUGUGUAAUGUAUAAUAUACAAUGUGUGUGUGUAUUUUAUACAGUAUGUGUGUAUCAUAUGCACUGUGUGUUACAUGCAGUAUGUGUGUAUUAUGUACGUGUGUAGGGUGUGAGAGGAGCUCAGGGGCCUGUAGGAGGGGCCGGGGGGCCCGGGCUGGUGGGCCUGCUAGGUCUACCUGGAAUGCCUGGACACGCUGGAAGAGUGCAUGUCUUACCAGGGCCGAGGGGUGACAGGGGCAACAUAGGGACCACACACAGCUGUAAUUGUUCACAAGUUCGAUUCCAGGAUCUGUUCACAACACUAGGAGCCAUAGCUGUGGUGCCUACCGUGUACGUGGUGGAGGGCGAGCAGCAGAUGCGCAGCGUUUCCUCUGAGAACGUGAUGGUCAUGAGGAGAGACACCCACAGGCUGCUGCUCUUCUCCAGAGGCCACUGGGUCCCCGUUUCUCCCAGGGCCGGGCCCCCGACACAACACCCCUGACCUGCUCAUGAGCAAGGCACUGCAGUUUCAUGGAGGUAUCUGUCUGUGCUAAUGCUUUGUCCCAAAAAAAUUCAAAUUGUUUAGCUCAGUCACCUGAUAGCCUGUGGUGAGGUAGGUAGGUAGGUAGGUCCAAGCCUGGCUCCAAGCCUGGACCUACUGGGUCUACAUAGCUACUGUGUCUAGGGUACAGCAUCAAUACUGGACCUACUGGGUCUAGGGUACAGCAUCAACACUGGAUAGUGGCAGUUUGAGACUAACUGAAUGCUCACAGCCAAUGAGACUCCAUUGCUUCUCACUUGGUCUGUGUUCAGAAGUCUGGAGCAGCUGUGUGAUGAACCAGGGAUCCUGACUGCUCUAUGCUAGG
rnacentral:lncRNA from 1 species